CAAUACAUGCUGACGAGCGGCGAACGGGUGAGUAAUGCUUUGGAAUCUUCCCAGUAGUGGGGAAUAACCAGUCGAAAGAUUGGCUAAUACCGCAUACGUCUGUAAAGGGAAAGCGGGGGCUCGUAAGACCUCGCGCUAUUGGAUGAGCCAAAGUCGGAUUAGCUAGUUGGUGGGGUAAUGGCCUACCAAGGCGACAAUCCGUAGCUGGUCUGAGAGGACGACCAGCCACACCGGAACUGAGACACGGUCCGGACUCCUACGGGAGGCAGCAGUGGGGAAUAUUGGACAAUGGGGGAAACCCUGAUCCAGCGACGCCGCGUGUGUGAAGAAGGCCUGCGGGUUGUAAAGCACUUUUAGUGGGGACAAAAAGCUACGGACUAAUAUUCUGUGGUCUUGAUUUAACCCAAAGAAAAAGCACCGGCUAACUCUGUGCCAGCAGCCGCGGUAAU
rnacentral:rRNA from 1 species